AUGCCCAGUGGCAGAGCCUCUGCUUUGCAUGCAGAAGGUACAAGGUUCAAUCCCUGGAAUCUCCA